GUGCUCGUUUCAGCAGCACAUAUACUAAAAUUGGAGCAAUCCAGAGAAGAUUAGUGUGGUCCCUGCAUGAGAAUGAUAUGCAAAUUCCUGAGUGUUCCAUAUUUUCU